rnacentral:lncRNA from 1 species
UUUUGGGGAUGAAGUUUAAAACUUAAAAAAAAAAGCAAUAUAAAAAAACUUUUUUUGUAAAAAUAGUUUCAAAAAGCAGUUUCGAAUUUCAAAAAGAAAAUAAGAAAAGCAAAAAAAAUUGAAAAAAAUAUUUGAACAAUAGUUUUAGAAAGAGAAAAAUUAUUAAAAAGUUCAAAAUUGAAAACAUAAAAUUCGAAACUAUAAAUUUUAUUUAUUUAUUUAUAUUUAUAUACCUAUAAAACAAGAAAAAUAAUAAUUUUUUAAUGAAAUUUCAUUUGGUCUUUUUUCUGUCAUAAAAUUUUUUGGCGACAAAUUUUGUAAAAAAGGCGAGAAUUGCCCUAUUAAAAACAAAUAUCAUUAAAUGAAACUGAAGUUAGGAAACAAAUAAUAAAGAAUUUGAAUUACUAGAAAAAGUUACACCCAUCUUGUUAUGAUUUGUUCAUUUCUUUUUCUGAUUGUCCAACUUUCAGUCUCUCUUAUUAUCCGAUGGACUAUAUACAGACGGGCGUGUAGAAAACUCGUUGGAUGGUUCCUUUAACGUUGACAGGCACUUUUUGCAAUUAUGACUCUUCAAAAGAAACUAAUAAGCAUACCUAAUCAUUAAUCUUACGUGUCGAGAAAGAGCAUCAUCUCUUUACCAAUUACAAUUUUGAG